rnacentral:rRNA from 1 species
UACGUAGGGAGCGAGCGUUAUCCGGAUUUAUUGGGUGUAAAGCGUGUGUAGGCGGUAAAUUAAGUCUAAGGUUUAAGCCCGGAGCUCAACUCCGGUUCGCCUUAGAAACUGAUUUUCUUGAGUAUGGUAGAGGCAAGUGGAAUUUCUAGUGUAGCGGUAAAAUGCGUAGAUAUUAGAAGGAACACCAGUGGCGAAGGCGGAUGACUGGACGGCAACUGACGGUGAGGCGCGAAAGCGUGGGGAGCAAACAGG